CGGCGGACGGGUGAGUAACACGUGGAUAACCUACCUAUAAGACUGGGAUAACUUCGGGAAACCGGAGCUAAUACCGGAUAAUAUAUUGAACCGCAUGGUUCAAUAGUGAAAGACGGUUUUGCUGUCACUUGUAGAUGGAUCCGCGCCGCAUUAGCUAGUUGGUAAGGUAACGGCUUACCAAGGCAACGAUGCGUAGCCGACCUGAGAGGGUGAUCGGCCACACUGGAACUGAGACACGGUCCAGACUCCUACGGGAGGCAGCAGAC
rnacentral:rRNA from 1 species